AUGUAUAGAUAUUUGGCUUUAAUGGCCUGGUCAUUUCUCCUACUGGACCAUAGAAGAAGGAAGAAGGGUGAAACCUGGAGUAAAGAAGCUUCUGUUACCAAGAGAGGAUGGGAUGUUGGCUACCAAGGCAAUUGCAAGACCUUACACACCCUCAGAGGAGUCAGAGUAUCCGGAGACCAGAGAACUCCACAACUUAAUUGCUUAGUUUUUCAAAAGGAUCUUACAAUCUUUUGUCUCCUGGCCAUCAGGAAAGGAUUAAGAAAACGAAGGUUAAAAUCAACUGCUUCAAUUUCCUGAUAUAAAAAGAAGGAAGUUUUCAGAAAAAUCUUGGUAACAGAUUCUCAACAAAAGGCAAAACUGGAAAAGGGCCAGAUCUGUUCUGCCUACAUCUUUACUUCCUCAUACAUAGAUGAUUUCCAGGACAUGACUCCUGCAAAUUUUCAAGAAAAGGCAACUAAUCUAACAGCUUGAGAUCAAAGAACCUCAUAAAGACCUAUUUCAAGUUGCUGAUGUAAAAAGGAAGUUUUCAGAAAAGCCUUGGUAAGUUUCUAAUCAUUAUAGAUACCUGCUUCAUCAACUUGUUUUAAAAGCUUUCUUUAAAAACGAAUUCUAAAAACUAAAGCAGAACUUUGAAAGUGAAUAUAUUUUCAAGUGUACAUGAGCUAUUUCUAAUGAACGAUUCUAAAAGGAACGAGAAUCUUGCCGUUUUCACAUAUAUCAUUAGAUGUAACUUGCACUGACCAUAGAAGUCUUUAAAAAUGGGUGGCUCAGUCAGUUGGGUGUUGGACUCAAUUUUGGCUCAGGUUGUGAUCUCUGAGGGUCACAGGGUGGGGUCCUGCUCCUCACUCAGCAGGGAGUCUGUCUCCUUCUCUCCCUCUCCCUCUGCCCCUUCCCCUGAUCUCCCUCUCUGUCAAAUGAAUAUAUAAAUCUUAAAAAAAAAGAAGAAGAAGAAAGAAAAAAAGAAACCUUCUAGCAACUAUGGUGCAGAGUGUUUCUAGAGUUGGAGCACUCUGGAGAUGAGGCUAGAAAGACCUAAGUAAAAUGUAGAUCAGAGGAUCAGGACUUGAAGCAUACCAAUCUGUGUAGAAAAUUAUAACCGUGUGCAGCUAUGGCAAACUCUCCUAUAAACUCAAGAUGAUAUCAAAUGUUAAAGAUCAGUUAUUUUAUUUAAGGCCUUCCUUCACAACAAGCUUGUACAAAGACUAUGGGAAGAAAUACAUCAUUUCAACAUGCACUUCCAGAAAAUGUCACUAACUUGCUUGGCAGUUUCAGCUCUGAAGAACAUCGGAACAGGUGUAGGCCUUCUGGUCUCCGAUUGUGAGCCUUCUUUCCUAGAGGCAAAGAUACCUGUGGGCUGCUGAGGCCCAGCUUCCUGGAGUAGGCACCAGUGCUUGCCCUAAAAGCUGCUGGUUUGAGCCUUCCUAAUCAGCCCCAAAGAAAGAAAAUAAAAGUCCUUAAGGAAUGGAUCUGAAAUCAAGUACUCAUAAGGAGAACUCCAGGGUUCAAAAUUUUCCCAGAACAGAAUAAAGGAGAUAAGGUAGAGGUCUUUUCCCCAACUGAAAGCAGAGCAACACCUUUAUCCAUUUUAGACAUACAGGUUUCAUGUGCUUUUCUUUUGAAGAAGCAGAACAAAACCAAAUGCCAACCAAGACAACACUGGUUCUGGUCCCAUGCACUUAUACAAUGAAAACAGGUUGGCUGAGAGGAGACACAUUUAAUCACGAUACUGUUUUCCUGAUCACAACCCCUCCCCCUUUAUUUACACUAUGUAGCCUCUUGCCAAACAUAAAUGUCCCUCAUGUUUAAAAAAUAUGCCAAUAUUCCAGGAUGUAAAUCUAUCAAAGAAUGUUCAUGAAAGGUCUUUGUAAGCCUCAGAACAGUGAAAUACAUUAAAGUUCUAUAUAAAUAUUUACAAAUCAUCACCCCAAACAAGGUUGAAGACACGGAUUGGGCCACAGAGUUAUACUAAAGCAUUAUUAAAAUGUUUUUGCCCAAAUAAUGGUCGCCUUGAAUUAAAUACAUAGUUCCAGCCAAAUAUGGAUUAUAGACUCUAUAAGAUGCUUGUAUAACUGACAGAGUGCAAAAUUCAUGUGAAAGUGUUACCAAAUAUAUAGUAACUUCAAAUCAUUAUGUAUCUUCUCAGCUCCCAUCAUAGCAGUGAGCAGCUAAGAAAUGUUUUGAUGUUAUAAAGGGUCUUCGUCUUUGAACAAUGGGGCAACCUGUGAAAUAGAGAUAAAAAGACAGAUUUGGGGAGAACAAAUGCCAUUCCAAUUUGAGAAGAGUGCUCCCAUCUCCCUGUGGUUCCGACAGAAUUCAAACAAUUAAGAGAAAUGAGGGGGACGUCACCUCCCUGGGAGGUACCACAAAGACAAGCCCUUCCACCAUCCCCAAAUUACACAUACACAUGUGUGUCUCUGGGCAUCUAGUAGCUGAUAAGCAGGAAACCCUUCAUGUGUUGCUUCUUGGAGAGUGCUGGGGUCUAGUGGAAUUGCUGUAAUCACUGGCUAAAUCAGAAGAGAAAAUCUACAGCUCUUCCUUACAAUAUUUGGGGCACCCAGAGGACAAGGUGAGAGAGGACUCUGACUAAGAGAAGAUAUUGCCACAGACUUGGACAGAACAAGUCUGUGGAGAGCGAUGAGAGCAUCUCCAGAGAAGAGGCCUCCUCUCCAGAGCAAGAGGUAUGGACAGUCAAUUAAGAGAACAGAAACUAAAAUAGAAUGUAUGGACCUAGUAACAGAAGAAAAGUCAAGAAACAGAACAGGGGUAGAUAUGGUUUUAAGAGCUCAGGGAAGCUCUUUUCUGAUUGCUUCAAUUUCCAAGUUGCAGUAGGAAGUAGGGUUACAGCGGAAAGUGACAAUGUUGAGGAGGUGUUGGAGAUUUGAUGAGAGAGGAGAAUGUGUAAAAUAGUUUAGGACAAUGAGAGAAUGAAUACAGCAGGAAACAGUAUGGUAGCUCAAAGCACUAACAGCCUGCUAGAAGACAGUGGUCAUGACUUUAAAGUGAGACCAGUCGGGUAUAGAAGGUCAUUGUCCAGCCAUGUUCCUGACAUGGGCAGAGUACAAGUGGAGGAAGGAGAAAGCAAGUGAUUAUAAUGAAUGAACAAAAAAAAAAAUCAAGCUAGUUACAAGGGAGAGGCAGUGAGGAGAUGCAGGGGCAGGGGGACGGGAGUGAGAAAGUAAUAGAAUCUAGAAUCGGUGAGUUAUGGGUCUUGGUGUUAAAGAAAUAUUAGAAUUUGAGCACUAAAGGCAGUGAGUCUAGGAGCGCCUGGGUGGCUCAGUCACCCGACUGAACAUCUGACUCUUGAUUUCGGUUCAGGUCAUGAUCUCAGGAUCGUGAGAUCCAGCCCCAUGUGGGGCUCCCUGCUAGGUGCGGAGUCUGCUUGAGAUUCUCUCUCUCCCUCUCCCCCUGCUCCCCCUGCUCCUUCUAUCUCUCUCUCUCAAAUAAAUAAAUAAAAUCUUAAAAAAAAAAUAAACAUAGUGAGUCUAAGGGGCAGGAGAUCCUGGUGAGGGAGAUAUUUGAAUCUGAGAUGCUGGAAGGCUUGUAGCCAUUGGUGAUUCUAUUAGUUUGCUAGGGUUGCUGUAACAAAGUACCACAAACUACGUGGCUUAAACCACAGAAAUGUAUUGUCUCACAGUUCUGGAGGCUGGAAGUCCUCAACAUCAAGAUGUUGGUGGGGUUGGUUCCUUCUGUGGGCUGUGAAAGAGAAGAAUUCCCUGUCUCUCCUUUAGUUUCUGGUGGUUUGCUGGUGAUCUCUGGCAUUCCUUGGCUUAUAGAUCACCCCAAUCUCUGCCUUCUUCUGCACGUGGUAUUCUCACUGUAUGUGUGUGAACCUCUGUGGCUAAAUUUCACUUUCCUAUAAAGAUACUGGUCAUAUUGAAUUAGGGCUCAUUCUAACAGCUUCAUGUUAACAUCUGCAAUGACCCUAUGUUCCAAAAGGUCACAUUCCAAGGUACUGGGGCUAGGACUUCAUCACAACAACCUAAACUUGGCAGGAGGUGAUCAUUAAGCAAGAGAGUUUAUUUGGGAUCAAAGAGUUGCAAUUUGGGGUACACAGAUUUGGGUAGCAACCCAGAUAGUGUCCCACCAAGCAAAAGUCAGGCAAAAAGGGAAUGCCUAGGGGCACCUGGGUGGCACAGUCGUUAAGCGUCUGCCUUCGGCUCAGGGCGUGAUCCCGGCGUUAUGGGAUCGAGCCCCACAUCAGGCUCCUCCGCUAUGAGCCUGCUUCUUCCUCUCCCACUCCCCCUGCUUGUGUUCCCUCUCUCGCUGCCUGUCUCUCUCUGUCAAAUAAAUAAAUAAAAUCUUUAAUUUAAAAAAAAGGGAAUGCCUAUAUAUGUUGCUUACAAAGAAUUUUUGAUUGGUGUUGGGGGCAGAAAACUCAUCUUGAUUGAAUAUAAUUGAUUGCUAAGGCUAUCACUAAGAAAACGUCUUGCUAGCAAGUAGCAAAUUGCAAGUGUUAGGACUGAGUCCUUGGAAUAUUUUCUAUUUGGCCCAGUUUAAAAGUUCAUGGUUCUACCAGUGAGGACAUGCAUAAGGCCCAUCUCCUUAAUGGCCUCCUGGCUCCAUCUUAAACCCCUUGACAUAAAUGACCCCAUUUCACCUAUCACAAACACAUAAGUUUGUGUGGAGGGGGUCACAAAUCAACGCAUGACAGUUUGUGAUAAGGUCAAUGGUGUGACCAUAGCAGUGGAUUUGGGGGGGAGGUUAAGAUCAUUGGACGAGAAGCAGUCAUGAUGGAGAAAUGCCAGUAUAUUGAAGGAUCAUCUAGGUGUCUAUGGAGCCACCAAAAAUUGUGAUGAGAAUAGUGUCUGAGGGCAUGAGUGCCUCUUCCCCUCAGCUGCCUGCAGAAAGCAGGUCAAAAUAUAUUAAAAUAUAUAAAAAGCAAGUAUUCAGCAAAUUGUUAAGGUAUGAAACAUUUUAAGACUAAAUUUAAAAAUAAUACAGUAAUCAUUUUUUAUUCAGCCUUUUCUCCAAAGUGACUUCAAAAAAUCUUUCAUUAAGAAUAUGCUUAUUAAUAACUGCUUAUCCUAUUGGCUCCAUAUAGUGCUUGUAAAGAGGUAAGGCAGAACCUCUCCUUCAGUCUUAUCUGAGGUGACACUUAGGGACUCUGCAGAGGAGACAGGAGGAUCAGGGAUGAGCCUCCAG
ensembl:lncRNA